rnacentral:rRNA from 1 species
GACGAACGCUGGCGGCGUGCUUAACACAUGCAAGUCGUGCGGUAAGGCCCUUUCGGGGGUACACGAGCGGCGAACGGGUGAGUAACACGUGAGCAACCUGCCCUUCACUUUGGGAUAACUGCCGGAAACGGUGGCUAAUACCGGAUAUGACUUCCUCACGCAUGUGGGGUGGUGGAAAGCCUUCGGGUGGUGGGGGAUGGGCUCGCGGUCUAUCAGCUUGUUGGUGGGGUGAUGGCCUACCAAGGCUUCGACGGGUAGCCGGCCUGAGAGGGUGACCGGCCACACUGGGACUGCGACACGGCCCAGACUCCUACGGGAGGCAGCAGUGGGGAAUAUUGCACAAUGGGCGCACGCCUGAUCCAGCAACGCCGCGUGCGGGAUGACGGCCUUCGGGUUGUAAACCUCUUUCGCCUGCGACGAAGCGAGAGUGACGGUAGCAGGUAAAGAAGCACCGGCCAACUACGUG